UCCGCAUUGGCAGUGUGGUUAGCUGGUUGUUGUACUCCAAGCCAACAGCCACUAACAACACUGCUCCUGCGUG
rfam:Operophtera brumata OBRT01_Sc00886, whole genome shotgun sequence.